UUUCCUUGUUUCUGCCCUGGAAGAUGGACAUUUUGCACAGCUCACUAAAGCGUCAAAACUCUAGAGUAGAAGCCCAGAGACCAUAUGACAUCUGGAAACACAGCCAUCAGAAGGGAAGAUAAUGUAAAUUUCAAGGAAGCAUAUUACUCAAAAGGGUGGCAUCUAGCAUCCUGAGGACAUCUGGGAUGAAGACUUUUUCUUACGAGCAAUGAAUGGAACAAGAAGAGAGGAGACAUUUGAUUGUUUCUUACAUUUUCCUGCUGCCGUUACUGCCUUUCAUCAGAUAGUGCCACUGCAAUCCUCCUUUAAGAAUGGAGAGUGGCUUAGUGGAGAAGUUCUGGACAGGAGUCAGACUUGAGGCUGAUGGAUGUAGACCUCAAAUUGCCACUUCAGGGCAACUGUGUGGACGGAAUCUGUCUGGGAAUGAAGCCAACCUGGUGGAGAGUGGUACCGAAAAACAGAGCGGGAAAGACACCUGGAGGUCAGUUUUCGAUAUCUGGAUCCAGCUUUGUUUGAAACUACUUUUAAAGUUUUCAUUUAUAUGUCAACUAAAUUUCCUUCUUUUAAGCCUAUUUGACUCGAGUUUGUGUCUUUUGCAACAGGAAGGAUAUAACAGAGUUAUACUAACUAGCUGCUAAUUAGCUGUGUGCCUCUUAGAAGUCACAGUCACUAAACAGAUAGGGGUCUCAGUUUCCCAUAUAUAAUAUAAAAUGGUUGAACUAGAUGGAUGAAUUUCAUACUUUGGUUUAGGGUAUACCUUCUUCUCAAAGGGAAUCUUAUACUGUUUGUCAUGCUAAUAGGUAAAAUAGAUAAAAUAAAAUGCCUUUACUGAAUCAACAUGGAUUUACAGAAGCCUGCCCACAUGUCAAUAGUUCACAGCUUAAAAUCACUGGAUG